rnacentral:sRNA from 1 species
GGAUCGGGCCUUUCAGGCAUCCUCUCCUAAAAACUUUUGGCCGGUCGCAAGACCGGCCUUUUUUUUGGCCUCG